rnacentral:tRNA from 1 species
UGUAUUGUGGCUUAGUCGGUAAAAGCGCCGGACUAGCGAUGCGGAGUUGGGGAUUUGAAUCCCACCAAAACAA